GGCGGGGCUAGGAAAAUUGCUGCCUGGGUCGGCUGGGCCUGUGGGCCUGCGUCCGACAGCGCGCGGCCGUGCUUUCUAAGCGGGCUCGGCAGCACCAGACUUCACCGGCCCGGCGCGGGGCUCACAAGUGCUCGCACUCCCUGCGGCCGGCGCGCUGACCGGAGCCUCUGGGUCUCGCACGCAGCAGCUGCAGACGCUGCCCGGCGCGGUGGGGCUGUGAGCAAAACGGCCCGCCGGUGUGGUUGCCCAGACUGUGCUGGGCCCUCCUAGGUGGAUGGCCCUGCCCCAGCCUAACUUCUGUACCCCAGCAUAACCUCCAAAGUAACAGCCGUGCCCUGGGAGCCUGUUCAACACUGAACAUAUCCCACAAUAACACUGUUCCAGCGUCGCUGGUAAAAAGCAGAAAUGGCUUCGCUGGAGGCAUCGACAAAUCUAAUGCAGUAACCUCAUUUUACAGAAGAGAACUCUAAGAGGAUAACUAACUUGGCCAAGAUC
rnacentral:lncRNA from 10 species